CCCUACUUUGUUGUUGCGUUGCUACGAGAGCUUGCAGGAGUAACUAUACCACCUGAAAGAAUCUAUGGUCUGGGAACUAAGUGAGAACAUUUUUAAGUAUAUAUAUAUUGUAUGUUAUUACAAAUGAAAAUUACUCUAGCUGGUCUUUUAACCACCCCUCUCAAAUUUCAGAUAAUCAACUUAUUUAAACUAUUCUUAUUUAUAUUACCAAACAAUCUAACACAAUCUCUUUUUUCUUUUUGAUUUUUUAUGCGUAUUUGUUUUCCUAUAUGUUUUUGAUGAGAGCAAACAAUGAGUCGGAGUUUUCCUUGAUCAUCGCCACACUCUGGACAACCAGUCAAUCGCUCCGAUUGUCUUUUUGAAAAUCCGAGCAUUUCGAGAUGCAGAGAAAAGAACUGAAGUUUAAAAAGAAGCAAGUAAAACAUGUAAAAGAAGUUGCUAAGUUUGAAAUAUGUCGUAAUAACAUACUACAACAAGAACUAUGUUGCUUAAGGCAGGAUUUUGUUCAAUUUUCACAUCGCCUGGAUGUACUAGAUAACUGUUUCUCACAUUGGGGUGAAGGUAGUGAUGACCUAGAAAAGAGCAUACACAAGUUUUUUCCCCCUGCUUUGUUGUUGCAUUGCUACGAGAGCUUGGAGGAGUAACUAUACCACCUGAAAGAAUCUAUGGUCUGGGAACUAGGUGAGAACAUUUUUAAGUAAAUACAUAUAUAUUUUGUGUUAUUACAAAUGAAAAUAACUCUGGCUGGUCUUAUGAGCACCUCUCUCAAAUUUUAGAUAAUCAACUUAUUUAAACUAUUCUUAUUUAUAUUACCAAACAAUCUAACACAAUCUCUUUUUUUCUUUUUGAUUUUUUAUGCUUAUUUGUUUUCCUAUAUGUUUUUUAUGAGAGCAAAUGGUGAGUCGGAGUUUUCUUUGAUCAUUGCCACACUCUGGACAACUAGUCAAUCGCUCCGAUUGUCUUUCUGAAAAUCCGAGCAUUUCGAGAUGCAACCCUAUUGAGUACGUGAUGAUAUCUUCGCAUAUCGAUAUUGGAGCUUCUAUUGAUAUCAAAACAAGAUAUAAUACAUAUGUUUUUUUUUUAUUUGUAUUAUCGAUACUUUUGUUUUGUUUUAGAUACAAAAAUUCGAGUUAUUGAAUAUCAAAAAUUAUUAGUAUUGUUGGAGGAUGUUUUAUAUUUUUUUGUAAAGAAUAUUCGGUUGACAAC